rnacentral:rRNA from 1 species
CCUGCGGGUUGUAAAGCACUUCGGUGGGGAGGAAAGACUCUAGGUUAAUACCCUAGAGAGUUGACGUUACCCACAGAAGAAGCACCGGCUAACUCUGUGC